GGUGGCUCAGUGGUAGAGUACUUGCCUUGCAUGCACGAGGCCCUGGGUUCGAUUCCUCAGCACCA
rfam:Dipodomys ordii contig_39695, whole genome shotgun sequence.